rnacentral:rRNA from 1 species
ACGUAGGAUGCAAGCGUUGUCCGGAAUUAUUGGGCGUAAAGAGCGAGCAGGCGGCAUAUCAAGUUGGACGUGAAAUUUUAGGGCUUAACCCUAAAGGGUCGUCCAAAACUGGUAAGCUAGAGUGCAGGAGAGGAAAGCGGAAUUCCCGGUGUAGUGGUGAAAUGCGUAGAUAUCGGGAGGAACACCAGAGGCGAAGGCGGCUUUCUGGCCUGUAACUGACGCUGAGGCGCGAAGGCUGGGGUAGCGAACAGGA